rnacentral:rRNA from 1 species
GUGGCUGGCGCGUGCUAUACAUGCAAGUCGAGCGGACAGAAGGGAGCUUGCUCCCGGAUGUUAGCGGCGGACGGGUGAGUAACACGUGGGUAACCUGCCUGUAAGACUGGGAUAACUCCGGGAAACCGGAGCUAAUACCGGAUAGUUCCUUGAACCGCAUGGUUCAAGGAUGAAAGACGGUUUCGGCUGUCACUUACAGAUGGACCCGCGGCGCAUUAGCUAGUUGGUGAGGUAACGGCUCACCAAGGCGACGAUGCGUAGCCGACCUGAGAGGGUGAUCGGCCACACUGGGACUGAGACCGGCCCAGACUCCUACGGGAGGCAGCAGUAGGGAAUCUUCCGCAAUGGACGAAAGUCUGACGGAGCAACGCCGCGUGAGUGAUGAAGGUUUUCGGAUCGUAAAGCUCUGUUGUUAGGGAAGAACAAGUGCAAGAGUAACUGCUUGCACCUUGACGGUACCUAACCAGAAAGCCACGGCUAACUACGUGCCAGCAGCCGCGGUAAUACGUAGGUGGCAAGCGUUGUCCGGAAUUAUUGGGCGUAAAGGGCUCGCAGGCGGUUUCUUAAGUCUGAUGUGAAAGCCCCCGGCUCAACCGGGGAGGUCAUUGGAAACUGGGAAACUUGAGUGCAGAAGAGGAGAGUGGAAUUCCACGUGUAGCGGUGAAAUGCGUAGAGAUGUGGAGGAACACCAGUGGCGAAGGCGACUCUCUGGUCUGUAACUGACGCUGAGGAGCGAAAGCGGGGAGCGAACAGGAUUAGAUACCCUGGUAGUCCACGCCGUAAACGAUGAGUGCUAAGUGUUAGGGGGUUUCCGCCCCUUAGUGCUGCAGCUAACGCAUUAAGCACUCCGCCUGGGGAGUACGGUCGCAAGACUGAAACUCAAAGGAAUUGACGGGGCCCGCACAAGCGGUGGAGCAUGUGGUUUAAUUCGAAGCAACGCGAAGAACCUUACCAGGUCUUGACAU